AGCCCCCGGGGCCAUGUUUUCAUGAUUUAGCUAACCCAUGGUAGCUUCCUCUCCAUUCACCUCUCUUCUUCUUCUUCUUCUUCUUCUUCUUCUUCUUCUUCUUCUUCUUCUUCUUCUUCUUCUUCUUCUUCUUCUUCUUCUUCUGCUUCUUCUUCUUCUUCUUCUUCUUCUUCUUCUUCUUCUUCUUCUUCUUCUUCUUCUUCUUCUUCUUCUUUCCUUCGCAUCCUUCUCCUCCUCCUCCUUCUUUCUUUCCUUCUUCUUCUUCUUUCUUCUUCUUCUUCUUCUUCUUCUUCUUAUUAUUAUUAUUAUUAUUAUUAUUAUGCAUUCUCCUCCUCCUCCUUCUUCCCCCAAUCCCAGGAAUUCUAAACCCUACCUAUAUAUCAAUCAGAAAUAACUUAGGGGCAAGAUUGCAUAGUAUCUCUUGGGUCUAUGUGUGGACUCUCUCUUCUCUGGGUCAACCAGGUCUAGAGGCCCACACUUAGCAUUGUACUACACAGCAAAAGACCAAACCUCAGCAGAUGCAGGUGGAACAUAUGGCAGAUCUACACUUAGGUUUUGUUUUGUUUUUAGGAACCUCAUACUGGUUUUCCUCCUGGCUGCAUUAACUUACAUUCACAAAAUCAAUGUGUAUCAGUUUGCUGUGUACCAGUUUCCUCUGUGACAGAACCCUCCAUCUUGGAUGAAGUUUAAUUAAGACAUGGGGUAUGUAAAGGAUAGUGAAAUACUUCAUAUUUCAUAGAAGCUCAAUAAGAUCACGAGGUAACUCAAGUCUAAGUGGAUCAAAGACCUACACAUAAGAUCAGAGACACUGAAAUUAAUAGAGGAGAAAGUAGGGAAAAGCCUCCAAGAUAUGGGCACAGGGGAACAAUUCCUAAACAGAAUAGCAAUGGCUUGUGCUGUAAGAUCAAGAAUUGACAAAUGGGACCUCAUAAAAUUGCAAAGCUUCUGUAAGGCAAAAGACACUGUCAAUAAGACAAAAAGGCCACCAAGAGAUUGGGAAAGGAUUUUUACCAAUCCUGAAUCUGAUAGGGGACUAAUAUCCAAUAUAUACAAAGAGCUCAAGAAGCUGGACUCUAGAAAUUCAAAUAACCCCAUUGAAAAUGGGGUUCAAAGCUAAACAAAGAAUUCUCAACUGAGGAAUACCGAAUGGCUGAGAAGCACCUGAAAAAAUGUUCAACAUCCUUAAUCAUCAGGGAAAUGCAAAUCAAAACAACAUUGAGAUUCCACCUCACACCAGUCAGAAUGGCUUAGAUCAAAAAUUCAUGUGACAACAGAUGCUGGCAAUGAUGUGGAGAAAGAGGAACACUCCUCCACUGCUGGUGGGAUUGCAAGCUUGUACAACCACUCUGGAAGUCAGUCCGGAGGUUUCUCAGAAAAUUGGACAUAAUACUACCGGAAGAUCCAUCAAUACCUCUCCUGGGCAUAUACCCAGAAGAAGUUCCAACUGGUAAUAAGAACACAUGCUCCACUAUUCAGCCUUAUUUAUUAUAGCCAGAAGCUGGAAAGAAUCCAGAUGUCCCUCAACAGAAGAAUGGAUACAGAAAAUGUGGUACAUUUACACAAUGGAGUACUACUCAGCUAUUAAAAACAAUGGAUUUAUGAAAUUCUUAGACAAAUGGUUGUAUCUGAAGGAUAUCACCUUAGUGAGGUAACCCAAUCACAAAAGAAGUCAUUAGAUAUGCACUCACUGAUAAGUGGAUAUUAGCCCAGAAACAUAGAACACCCAAGAUACAAUUUGCAAAACACAAGAAAAUCAAGAAGAAGGAAGACCAAUGGGUAUAUACUUCAUUCCUCCUUAGAAUAGGGAACAAAAUACCCAUGGAAGGAGUUACAGAGACAAAGUUUGGAGGUGAGACAAAAGAAUAGACUAUCCAGAGACUACCCCAUAUAGGGAUCCAUCCCAUAAUCAGCCAACAAACCCAGACACUAUUGCAUAUGCCAGCAAGAUUUUGCUGAAGGAACCCUGAUAAUAGCUGUCUCUUGUGAGGCUAUGCCAGUGCCUGGCAAAUACAGAAGUGGGUGCUCACAGUCAUCUAUUGGAUCCAGGGCCCCCAAUGGAGGAGCUAGAGAAAGUACCCAAGGAGCUGAAGGGGUCUGCAACCUUAUAGGUGGAACAACAAUAUGAACUAACCAGUACCCCCAGAGCUUGUGUCUCUAGCUGCAUAUGUAUCAGAAGAUGG
rnacentral:lncRNA from 1 species